rnacentral:lncRNA from 1 species
CUUGUUUUAAAAACAAAGGACAGUGCAAAAAAUACUGAUCAUGAUUCUUAUUUUCUGGGGAGAAAAAAAAAAAGCUAAUUAUUGUUAGGUACUGUUGAAUCUAAGCCCUCACUUCAACAGGAGCUAAUUUCAUACCCCUGAGGUAAAAAACUAUCAGUGGUAAAAGUGUGAUGAAUUAGUUCACUGAAGUAGGCACAUCUGUAUUUUCGUGGCUUGUGCGUG